GCCCGCGGGACAGCUCAUGAGCCACGGAGCGUCCUGGGACCUAGGGCGUAGAUGACCAAGUUGGCAUUGGCUGUCUCCUGCGCCAUUACCAUACUGAACUGCCACUGUCUGAGGAGCCCAACACUCAGGGUCACAGCUUUCUAGAUUAGUAGCUCCUUUGUCUCUCGAGUGGUGGUUUGUCUGAAGUGCAAAAGGCAGCAUAGAGGGUCGGCUUUAGAGCUGGGUGCCUGGGUUCAAAUCCCAGCCGCACUCUUAAAGGCUGGAACUUCUUGGGCAAGGUACCAAACUCCGUUUACCCACGUGCAAAAUUAAAUCAUAACCCUUGCUAUGUGCAGGCACUUCUCACAAAGUAACUCGUUUAAUCCUCACAACAUCCGUGUAGGUACUAACAGAGAAGUAAUUUGCCAAAAUAGUGCAGCAGUGAUUGACCCAGGCAGCCCGGCCAGGGCGCUGUCCUGGGACAGGUACGGAAUUGUUACAGAAACACACUGAUGGUGCCUGUGCCCAGCACCCCGUGCUGGGGCGAGCGCUAAGACUCUGUGAAGCAGACACAUGGCAAGCCCCCGGUAGAUACUCACCGCUGUUCUGCCUGUUGUCAGCAUAUCCAUACUCCCUACCAACGAUCCUGAAACAGAAACAGAGAGGCGAGCAUGUACAUCAGCCUGCACCAAACUCAUUCUGUGGCAGAGCCUAACCUGACUGAAGUGGGGCCGUCUACCAUUUGUUUUUCUCAUGCUGAUGUCAACAUUCAGAAGCUUUCGCGUGUCCGGCCCGGGGGCUGCCCGGGUCCUCCCGGGCGACGCAGUACACGCGUGUGCUUUCAGAUCAGCCCUCAAACCCCAGGACGUUUGCAGAGCCUGGGCCGCUGUGCUUCCCCACGCGGACCUGCUGGUCCUGUGGGCAGUGGAGGCGCCGUCUAGAUCUGCCCUCAGGAGGUUUCCUCCGAGAGUAAGAACAUCUGAGGAGAAGCUCUGGGUUGGGGUGAGCACCCUUCACUCAGUUUGAGUGCUCCCCCAGUGCCCCGAGCAUAGGAACCCAUCUCCACCCCACAUCUUCCCUAAUAGUAAAGAAACGUUCCCCCUUUCUUUAAUGUUUCUUAAUGUAAGUGAGAUAGGCCGGCACAUGGGGAGGUUGUAAACUUAAAAACGAAGAAAGGAGGUUUGCAAAGUGCGGGUGACUGACUGAACAACUGACAUUGCCGGUGGCAAAAGCUGAGCCCUCACCCAGGUUCCAGCCUGGCCACUGGGGUCCUGGACUGGGCUGGGUGAGGGACCUGCAGCUCACCCUCUGUGAGCCUGAUGUGCCUCUAAAAUGCAGGUUGUGAGAGUUACGAGGCAGGCACUUGGUACAGUUCAGCACUAACUCAAUGAGAAGUAGUGUUCUAUUCUGAUGUUACUUACGGCUCUUUGAAUAAUAAAAAUAUUCUUCAUGG